rnacentral:tRNA from 1 species
UGGAGUAUAAUUCAGUGGCAGAAGACACGUCUUAUAAACGGGUUGUCGGUUUUAUGGGUUCGAUUCCCCCUACUCCAA